rnacentral:tRNA from 1 species
GCUUAGCUCAGUUGGUAGAGCAACUGACUUUUAAUCAGUAGGUCACAGGUUCGACCCCUGUA